UACGGAGGAUGCAAGCGUUAUCCGGAUUUAUUGGGCGUAAAGCGUCCGCAGGUGGCUAUUCAAGUCUGCUGUCAAAGCUCGGAGCUUAACUCCGAAUCGGCGGUGGAAACUGAACAGCUAGAGUGCAGUAGGGGGAGAGGGAAUUCCCAGUGUAGCGGUGAAAUGCGUAGAGAUUGGGAAGAACACCGGUGGCGAAAGCGCUCUACUGGACUGCAACUGACACUCAGGGACGAAAGCUAGGGGAGCGAAUGGG
rnacentral:rRNA from 1 species